rnacentral:tRNA from 1 species
GCGUUAUUAGUAUAGAGUUAGAAUAUUUGCAUAGAAAGCCAUUCUCCCGGGUUCGACUCCUGGAUGACGCA